CAACGUUAACUGGUUGUUGUUACUUCAGUUGUCAUAAUCCUUCUAGUGUGAAGACCUCUACAACUGUGAUUUUUGUGUCAAACUCCAUCUUUAGGUCAACCUAUAUCAAUUCUCGUAUUCCGAGAGGUAUCUAUCCGGUAUUGAAGUGCCGUGAUACGUUUUGCAGUCUAGCCAAGAUGCUCUCCCAAACAGUAUGACCUAAAUCCUUUGAAAUGAAGAGAUCUGAUCCGAUCUGACCAAGUCAAACCCUCGGUUGCCGCAAAAGACCUUUCUUUUAGGAUUUAUGAGAGAAGGGUGCUUGCUGAGUCGACUUCAAUGCAUAGAACAAGUAAAAACAUAGUUAUUGAAAAAACUGCAAGCUGACAAAAGCAAACAGGAUUGGCAACAUGCAUUGGCGUGAUGGACGUCUGCCUCCGAAGCGGUUGAAGAUUGUUUGUGACGAAAGUUCCGCAUACCUUUUCCAACCCCUGCAUCAAUCCGAAGCAUGGUUGCAUUAUUCUGACAUGUACUGAUUCGGGCUGCUGAAAGCUGACAACAUCAACAUUUCCUCACUCUCUCUUAUUCAUGAUUCUAAACAAACAUUCUUUGUCGACCCUGAUGUCUGCCUUGUUCUAUGGUGGAUGGUGCUUUCGGAAAUGAACAAACUAAGUAGUGGUGAGGGUGACAAAAGGGGAGGCGCUUACAUGGGGUGUUGGGAAAAUCAAACUCCAGACCUUAUGCACCUCAAAGAAAAUAACAUACCACUGGACCAGAUACCCUCAGCACCUCUGUUCAGUGUAGGCAGAACUGAUGCCUAUGAUAUCAAGGAUUACAAAUUCCGGCCAUAAUUGUACCAAAUUCACCUCAUAGAAAACACGGGAUCUGAUAGCAUGUUUAAAGGUGUGUAUAUAUAUAUAUAUAUAUACACGUAUAUAUCUCUAUUUUGAAGAUGUGAGUCUUUGAGUUGCUAAAUUUUC
rnacentral:lncRNA from 1 species